rnacentral:tRNA from 1 species
GGGGAUCCUGGCUCAGUGGCUGAGCAUCUGCUUGGCACGCAGAAGACCCCAAGUUCAAUCCCCGGCAUUUCCA